AAAUACGGCCAUAUCACUUUGAAAACACCGGUUCUCGUCCGAUCACCGAAGUUAAGCAACGUCCAGCCUAAUUAGUACUUAGAUGGGUGACCGCUUGGGAAACCUAGGUGCUGUAAACG
rfam:Octopus bimaculoides Scaffold46131_contig_310, whole genome shotgun sequence.